rnacentral:rRNA from 1 species
UACGAAGGGGGCUAGCGUUGUUCGGAUUUACUGGGCGUAAAGCGCACGUAGGCGGAUCGUUAAGUCGGGGGUGAAAUCCUGGAGCUCAACUCCAGAACUGCCUUCGAUACUGGCGAUCUCGAGUCCGGAAGAGGUGAGUGGAACUCCUAGUGUAGAGGUGGAAAUUCGUAGAUAUUAGGAAGAACACCAGUGGCGAAAGGCGACUCACUGGUCCGGUACUGACGCUGAGGUGCGAAAGCGUGGGGAGCAAACAGG